AUGCUUGUCUCAAAGAUUAAGCCAUGCAUGUCUAAGUAUAAACAAAUCUAUACUGUGAAACUGCGAAUGGCUCAUUAAAUCAGUUAUAGUUUAUUUGAUAAUACCUUACUACUUGGAUAACCGUAGUAAUUCUAGAGCUAAUAUAUGCUGAAAAGCCCCGACUUCUGGAAGGGGUGUAUUUAUUAGAUUCAAAACCAAUGGCCAGCAAUGGUCACACUUGGUGAUUCAUAAUAACUUUUGCGGAUCGCAUAGCUUUACGCUGGCGACGAAUCAUUCAAAUUUCUGCCCUAUCAACUUUCGAUGGUACGGUAUUGGCCUACCAUGGUUACAACGGGUAACGGGGAAUA
rnacentral:rRNA from 1 species